rnacentral:rRNA from 1 species
CCUACGGGUAGCAGCAGUGAGGAAUAUUGGUCAAUGGACGCAAGUCUGAACCAGCCAUGCCGCGUGCAGGAAGACGGCUCUAUGAGUUGUAAACUGCUUUUGUACGAGGGUAAACGCAGAUACGCGUAUCUGUCUGAAAGUAUCGUACGAAUAAGGAUCGGCUAACUCCGUGCCAGCAGCCGCGGUAAUACGGAGGAUUCAAGCGUUAUCCGGAUUUAUUGGGUUUAAAGGGUGCGUAGGCGGUCGGAUAAGUUAGAGGUGAAAUCCCGAGGCUCAACUUCGGAAUUGCCUCUGAUACUGUUCGGCUAGAGAGUAGUUGCGGUAGGCGGAAUGUAUGGUGUAGCGGUGAAAUGCUUAGAGAUCAUACAGAACACCGAUUGCGAAGGCAGCUUACCAAGCUACUUCUGACGUUGAGGCACGAAAGCGUGGGUAGCAAACAGGAUUAGAUACCCGAGUAGUC